UAUCGUUUAUCUGGUGAUCGCUCAUUACAUGGAUAACCAUGGUAAUUCUAGAGCUAAUACAUGCGCCCAGACCCGACUUCGUGGAAGGGUUGUGUUUAUUAGGUACAGAACCAACCCAGGCUCUGCCUGGUCUUUUGGUGAUUCAUGAUAACCGAACGAAUCGCAUGGCACUUGCUGGCGAUGAACCACUCAAGUUUCUGACCUAUCAGCUUCCGACGGUAGGGUAUUGGCCUACCGUGGCAAUGACGGGUAACGGAGAAUUAGGGUUCGAUUCCGGAGAGGGAGCCUGAGAAACGGCUACCACA
rnacentral:rRNA from 1 species